AUAAAAGAUGGCAUUAAAUUUUCUGUUCCUUUAAACCAUUUGAAACUAAAAAAAAAGAAGAAUAAUUAAUUACUUACUAAAAUAUGUAAAUUCAGUUCGCGAUUCGCACGACCUACCCUUCAUGAGCUAUGACGCUGGAUAUUCACUAAAACCAAGGAUCCCCCAAAAAGAUUCUAUCUGCGACAAGGAGUGACAAUUGACACAAUCAAAUCUAAUUAGAUUAGCUUCAUCUAUUCCAUUGAAGGGUAGGGCCUUAUUCUUCACCUGUGAGAAUAUCCAAUAGAAAUAAGGGAAUGUCAUUGUAUCUAUUUUGACUAGCCGCUUGGUAUCUGUAGCCCUGCCCAGUAGCCAUUUAUAAGGGAAAACACAUAAACUACAAAGUUUGAGAAAAUUUUUGGAAACAUGCCAAUUCUGUCGGAUGCACACAAAGCUGCAGAGAGAUAAACAUCAGCUCGUCUCAAUUAAAUGCGAACAAGCUUCAAAAAAUAACCCAAGCCAUGGUGAAAGCACUUAUUAAUUCUUACCUA